rnacentral:rRNA from 1 species
CCUACGGGCGGCAGCAGUGAGGAAUAUUGGUCAAUGGACGCAAGUCUGAACCAGCCAUGCCGCGUGCAGGAUGACGGCUCUAUGAGUUGUAAACUGCUUUUGUACGAGGGUAAACCCCGAUACGUGUACCGGGUUGAAAGUAUCGUACGAAUAAGGACCGGCUAACUCCGUGCCAGCAGCCGCGGUAAUACGGAGGAUCCGAGCGUUAUCCGGAUUUAUUGGGUGUAAAGGGUGCGUAGGCGGUUUGAUAAGUUAGAGGUGAAAUGUCGGGGCUCAACCCCGAAACUGCCUCUAAUACUGUUGGGCUAGAGAGUAGUUGCGGUAGGCGGAAUGUAUGGUGUAGCGGUGAAAUGCUUAGAGAUCAUACAGAACACCGAUUGCGAAGGCAGCUUACCAAACUAUAUCUGACGUUGAGGCACGAAAGCGUGGGUAGCGAACAGGAUUAGAUACCCUUGUAGUC